rnacentral:rRNA from 1 species
GUGGCGUGGCGGCAGCUACCAUGCAGUCGAACGGUAGCACAGAGAGCUUGCUCUCGGGUGACGAGUGGCGGACGGGUGAGUAAUGUCUGGGAAACUGCCUGAUGGAGGGGGAUAACUACUGGAAACGGUAGCUAAUACCGCAUAAUGUCGCAAGACCAAAGAGGGGGACCUUCGGGCCUCUUGCCAUCAGAUGUGCCCAGAUGGGAUUAGCUAGUAGGUGGGGUAACGGCUCACCUAGGCGACGAUCCCUAGCUGGUCUGAGAGGAUGACCAGCCACACUGGAACUGAGACACGGUCCAGACUCCUACGGGAGGCAGCAGUGGGGAAUAUUGCUCAAUGGGCGCAAGCCUGAUUCAGCCAUGCCGAGUGUAAGAAGAAGGCCUUCUGGGUGUAAAGGACUUUCAGCGGGGAAGGACGUGUUUUCACACACAUAAACC